UAGUGCUUACAGUUCUUUUUGAAUUUGUCCAGCAGGUCUUCUGGUUUUUACCUGAAGGACCUCA
rfam:Myotis lucifugus cont2.39856, whole genome shotgun sequence.